rnacentral:rRNA from 1 species
AUAAGUAAUGUGAAUUGCAGAAUUCAGUGAAUCAUCGAAUCUUUGAACGCACCUUGCGCUCCUUGGUAUUCCGAGGAGCAUGCCUGUUUGAGUGUCAUGAAAUUCUCAACCUUACAAAGUUGUCAACUUUGUCUGGCUUGGAUUGUGGGAGUUCUUUU